UGGUGUCAGCACCCUCCACUCUCCCGCAACUAUUCGCGACGGUGGCGUCGGCGUCGUUUCUGUCGGCGUCCUCGUAUGGCAGAACGUUGCCAGCAAGCUACUGUAGGAAAUACACAGUGUGGGUCACUCCUCGCAUGCCUCAGCGCCGCGACGGACGUUGCUGCCAACAUAAUCCCGCCCGUCGCCGCAACCCGCCGUCGCUGAUGCAGAAACAUGGAGCUCGGACAGGACGCCACCAUACGAGAAGUCAAGUCAACGAGCAGAGAAUUCUUGUUUUUUGAACCCACGCAAUACUUUCUUUGCUUUGCUUUCUUUCUUUUUGUUCGUGUUUCUUUGCGUCUCUGUAGCAUUUCUUUGUUUAUAUUUCAGUUUCUUUGUCUUAAGUUGAAGCUUACUUGAUUAAUAGUAGGUACAGAAAUCAAUAUUUUUAUUUUCUUCUCCUCUCCCUAGGAAAUCACCGCAAAACAACUACACAACAAAGGGAAUACUUUCGCCGAUACAAGCCUAAAUGUCCAGUUUCAAGAGCUCAUAUCAAGCCUUCAGUACGGUACAGUCGCACUGGUUGAUAUUUUGUCGAGACGAGAAAUUAAGGAAGAUGUUAAUUAAUGAGCGAAAUCCUGGAGUUCAACAAGAUUUUGUCAUCGUAUACCAAAAACACGUCUUUAUUAAUAGCACCAAUUCUUCAUUAAAAAUAUAGAAGUGUGUCAACUAAAAAGGGUAAAAAUCUGUUUACCAUAUAAAUGGUCUCUUUCUGUAAACCAUAUUACGACUGUCUGUAGUUACGUGUAUCAGAAGAGCUUGACCUUCUCGGCAAAAUACAACAUCGUAAAUCUGUCUACGAGAACAGGUUCCCAACAUUCGUUUCUCGUAACUUGCUCCCUACCACAAUUAGAUCUGGAAACUUUAAUACCGCUCACUUUGGGAGUUGUAUAAAAUAAUAAAUAUUUUAGUCUCACAAGCAGAUAAAUUAAUACGUUUUCGUUUCCAAAGUUGUAUAAGUUAUUACCAAGUUUAUGAGAAAUGUGCAGGAAAAGAAUGAGUUUCAAAUACAAAUUCCCUUGUCCAAGAUAGUAAUUAAAGUAAUCAAAAUUCCUAGGUACUUUAAAAUGCAACAUUAAUAGUUAUGAUAAAGAUUUCUGUAUUUAAUUCAUAAGCGUAUCUGUUAAAUGGUAAAAAUACGUAAUUUAGUAAUAGCGAAAAAUGUUUUACAAGUUAUUUACAAUAUUUUUUACUGUUUAGUGCAGAAACUUAAAAUGUUUAUGUAUUUCGUCGAAGAAUAUAAUUUACGUAAAAUGUAACGUAAAUUACCUCUAUAAUUUCCAUAUAUUGAAUUAUAAAUGUAAAAUAUUUCUAAGAUUUAAUGUAAAAGCACGACAAUAACAGUGUCCAUAAAAGUUUAAUAUAGCAUACUCAACUUCAGCUAAUCUAAAGGCUUCGAUUUUCAAAUUUUGAUAAGAGAUCUUCUGUAAGAGGGUUGACAAACUCCACUUUCAUAACUAAAAUGUAAUCAGAGCAAAAAUAUUUCGGGACCGACAAGGCAGAACGUUCCUUUUUCUUGUUUUCUGGAAGAAGUUUCUUGUAUCCAUAUAGAAAUUAGCACCACACAUAGAUUAAAUAUAUGAGAAUAUCAACAGUUAACAGAACAAGAAUAACUUUCAAAACUUAGAGGUUACUUUUAAUUCCUCUAUCAUGUACUCAGCUCUAAGCCCCGUCUAUCUACAAACACGACUAUGAAUAUGAAAUAUAGAAUAAUAUAGUGUUGAGGAAGUUUUACGUUCAUUGUUUACGUACAUUAAGUAUAAAUCGAUUAAAUUUCUCUGCAUACCACUGAUAAAAUUCUUAGUACUAAAACGUAGGUAAUCACUGACAUACAGAACAAAGCAACCCUUAAUUGAACAGAAAAAGAUUUUAGUUGUGAAGGCAGGAAAGAUGUAAGACAUUUUGAGAUUUUACGUCUCCAUAAAAUGCAGUUUUUAAAAACUGUCAUCAUAUAUCUAUGUAUUUCAUCUUAAUUUAAUACUAUUCAUGGAUUGUGUAUCACUAUGACAAUUAUCCUGCAAGGAUGCUUAAAUAGUCCUCAUAAUGAUGAUUCAAUCCAAUUCCUGAUUUUAACGUGCUGACUCAACAGCUACAGCGGCAAAUUUUGAUCCAGCCUCAGGCAAUUAGUUAGUAGAGCCAAAUGAUAAUAAUAAUAAUGAUAGAAUUAAAUCUUCCUCAGUCCUCAGUCAGUAUAAUCCACUUACG